UACGUAGGUGGCGAGCGUUGUCCGGAUUUACUGGGCGUAAAGAGCGCGCAGGCGGCUGGUCAAGUCCGAUGUGAAAGCUCCCGGCUUAACUGGGAAAUUGCAUCGGAAACUGAUCGGCUGGAAGGUGGGAGAGGGUAGCGGAAGUUCCCGGUGUAGUGGUGAAAUGCGUAGAUAUCGGGAGGAACACCAGUGGCGAAAGCGGCUACCUGGCCCAUUCUUGACGCUGAGGCGCGAAAGCUAGGGGAGCAAACGGG
rnacentral:rRNA from 1 species